rnacentral:rRNA from 1 species
GACGAACGCUGGCGGCGUGCUUAACACAUGCAAGUCGUACGGAAAGGCCCCUUUGGGGGUACUCGAGUGGCGAACGGGUGAGUAACACGUGAGUAACCUGCCCUUGACUUCGGGAUAACUUCAGGAAACUGGGGCUAAUACCGGAUAGGAAUCCUUGCUGCAUGGUGGGGGUUGGAAAGCUUCGGCGGUUUUGGAUGGACUCGCGGCUUAUCAGCUUGUUGGUGGGGUAGUGGCUUACCAAGGCUUUGACGGGUAGCCGGCCUGAGAGGGCGACCGGCCACAUUGGGACUGAGAUACGGCCCAGACUCCUACGGGAGGCAGCAGUGGGGAAUAUUGCACAAUGGGCGGAAGCCUGAUGCAGCAACGCCGCGUGCGGGAUGACGGCCUUCGGGUUGUAAACCGCUUUCAGCAGGGGCGAAGCUUGUGGUGACGGUACCUGCAGAAGAAGCACCGGCUAACUACGUG